GGAUGACGAUCCGACACCAAGGCCAACAGUACAGGCCGAGGAUGGCAUUUCUGCAGAAGGUUUCCAAGCUGCCCCGGGGGUCCUGAACAAUCAGCAGUGCUUGGGCGGAAUGUUGGAAGGGUAACCUGCACGUGAAUGCCCCCUGUGUGGCCCUCCUGCCUUCCCUGGGCUCACUUCCCCAGCUACCUACUGCUGCUUCCCAGAAUCAGUCCUCUCACCAACACUCAGAGGUCCCAUAAUUAUCCCCAUUUUACAGGUAAGGAAACAG